UACGUAGGGGGCUAGCGUUAUCCGGAAUUACUGGGCGUAAAGGGUGCGUAGGUGGUUUCUUAAGUCAGAGGUGAAAGGCUACGGCUCAACUGUAGUAAGCCUUUGAAACUGGGAAACUUGAGUGCAGGAGAGGAGAGUGGAAUUCCUAGUGUAGCGGUGAAAUGCGUAGAUAUUAGGAGGAACACCAGUUGCGAAGGCGGCUCUCUGGGUCCCUACCGACGCUGGGGUGCGAAAGCAUGGGGAGCGAACAGG
rnacentral:rRNA from 1 species